rnacentral:lncRNA from 10 species
GAGAACAGAAGUUAAGUAAGGUUAAGAGGAGUUAAGUAACCUGUCUGCUGGUAAAUGGUAAAGCUGCUUAGAGAGGCAAUGCAUUUAACCACUGUGUUUUACUUCUAUUUUAAAAAACCUGAAGGCUAUAGAUAUGCAUAGAAUGUCAGGAGAGAACUGAAAAGAAGUCCUGGAUUCAUGCAGUAAGUUGCAGAGGGAGUGGUACCUACAUGGGGUAGACCUGGGGUGUGUUGUGCAGGUGAAGGGCUGGAAUUGAAAGGCACUUAAGGCGCAAGAGACGUGAGUAGGGGCAUGAGUGCUGUGGACUAAAUCAGGUUGGUGUUUCAGAAAAUAAAUAUCAAGUGAGCAAUAAAAAAGAGGCUGAGGAUAGAGGGAAGGAUUAGAUAGAGACAAAGAGAUGAAUAUAUUGAGGCAACAAUCAGAAGAACUUUACACAUUAUCUUACAUAGUGUGUUAGUGAAAUAGAACUAGGGAGAGAAUAAACAAGAAAAUUUCCUAUAUCAUUUUCUAUUUUGAUUUAAUGAAUGAUGCCUCAAAUGGAGCUAAAUAAGUAUAGGAAGAGGAGCAGGUUCAUGAAAAAGAUAUGUUUUGCUUCAGGGCACUUGAGUCUAUUGAACUACCAAGUAAAGGUAAUUUGCAAACAGUUAUAUAUGUGCAUCAAUAAUUGCAAGAGAAAUGAAAGCAUAGGGAGCAUAGAUUAAUGAGAAGGGUGCCCCAAAGCGUGUUGUCCAAGAAAAGACUGGAGCAGAACAAGAGCCAGUGAGGUACAAUUUCAGAGUAUUAACAAGAAAGAACCGAUGAUGAUGAUGAGCCCAUUGCAAAAGAUAGAUUAGUUAAGAUCACAACUGAACUCAUACUUGAAAUGGAUCCCUAAUAAAGUCACAGGUUUAUUUAGCAAGGGCAGGAUUUGUAGUGUGGUGGAGCUGAAGCCAGAUGGUGCUGGAUUGAAGAGUGAUAGAGC